AAGAAAGAAAGAUUAUCCACUCAUGCAUAUAACGAAUACGAAAAUAUCCAACAUCAUUUCAUAGCUGUCCUCUUCUUGUUAGAUAAGAACCUUAAUAUUUGUUUCCUCCUAUCAGAUUAAUGUCAGGAAAAAUAUAACAUUUGUUUUUUACGUGGGUAGAGGACGACGCAUAACACAACCAUACAUAUGAUAAAACGAAAAAAGAAAUAUAUUAAUAAAAUUGGUGGUAGUUCGAUCAAAUAUAUAGUAGAUGUAGAUGAUAUAUCUCAAGACUUGUGUUUAUAUUACUUUUAGGAAAAUGAAUUUCUUAGGUAGCUAACGAAUUCUCAAUCUCAAAUAAAUAUAUUAGCCACUAGAUAAACAGCCAUAAAUUAAUAUACCUACAAUUUCUAAAUAGACUAAUUUGAUACAAAUUAACGAAUCAUAUUCAUAUUUAGGAAAAAAUGUAGUUAAAUCCCCCAACUUUCAAAAAAUGGCCAAUCAAUACGUCAACUUAGAUGGAAGCCAUUUAAAACAUCAACUUACAGUUGACUAACAAAUAAAACAUGAACUUUGCGUUGACGAGGCCACAUUAUACGCGUCGUUAAGUCGAUUAACAGACCCAAUAAACGACGUUUUCUCCCGUUAGUAUCUCUCUGUUAGUCAAGAAACGGUGACGUUUAGAGGUUAAUAGAAACCCAAUUAGGGCUUUGUCGAGAAGAAAUUCCCAAAUCAAAUCAAAUUCAUUCUUCCCCAAAUUGCUUUUGUUCUUCCCCAAAUCAAAAACCCUAAAUUAUCGACGAGUGUUAGUGGAUGCCAUUAGUUAGACUCAACGGCAUCAUAUCGACGAUUGGGUCACCAAUGGAAGACGACGAGUUAGAGAGUUCUGUACCUGUAGUUGCUCCACCGGCGGAAGUCAUUUCAGAGUCAGGUGGAGGAGAUGGAGGAGUAGAGGCAGCUGCUGUUGAUAACAGAAGAGUUUCUGGACGUCGUCGGACAGGAAGUAGAGUCAGAGUCGUAGAAGAUGAUGAGCCUGAAAUUGAUCCCGAGCUUGAAAUUGAUCCCGAACCGGAUUUGGAAGAUGAUUGCGCCGUGUAUGGUGAUGACGAUUGUGAUGUUGUUGAUGAUGCAGUAGCUGGUGAAGGCAACGAAGAUAACGUUGUUGAAGAAGAUGCUAACCUCAACAUUGCAGAUGAUUUUCCCGAGGCUUAUAGAGCAGAUGAAGAAGCUGGUUCUGAUUCCGACACCGGAGAUGAUAUCUGGGAUGACGAAAAGAUCCCAGACCCUUUGUCAUCUGACGACGAAGAUGAGGUUGUUAGAGUCGGAGAAGAGGCAGUUUGUGGAGAUGAAGACGAUCCAGAGGUUUUGCUAGCUAUAGAGAAAACUUUCAACUCUCCGGAUGACUUCAAGCGUGCAGUAUUGAUGUACUCUUUGAAGACAAGGUAUAACAUCAAUUUCUAUAGGUCUGAAUCAUUAAUGGUUGCUGCUAAGUGUUGCUAUGUAAAUGAGCUAGGUGUUAAUUGUCCGUGGAGAGUCUUAUGUUCAUAUGAGAAGAAGAAGCAUAAGAUGCAAAUAAGAAUUUACUUCAACGAGCAUAUAUGUGUGAGGUCCGGUUAUACAAAAAUGUUGAAGCGGUCUACCAUUGCAGCUUUGUUUGAGGAAAGGCUGAGAGUUAAUCCAAAGAUGACAAAAUAUGAGAUGGUUGCUGAGAUAAAGAGAGAGUACAAAUUGGAAGUAACUCCAGAUCAGUGUGCUAAGGCGAAAACCAAAGUUCUAAAGGCAAGAAAUGCUAGUCAUGAUACCCAUUUUUCAAGGAUAUGGGACUAUCAAGCAGAGGUAUUAAAUCGGAACCCAAACAGUGACUUUGACAUCGAGACAACUGCGAGAACGUUUAUUGGAAGCAAGCAGAGGUUUUUUCGCUUGUAUAUAUGUUUUAAUU
rnacentral:sRNA from 1 species